rnacentral:rRNA from 1 species
ACAGAGGCCCCGAGCGUUAAUCGGAAUCACUGGGCUUAAAGGGUGCGUAGGCGGGUCAGUAAGCGCUUUGUGAAAUCCCACGGCUCAACCGUGGAACCGCAGGGCGAACUGCUGAUCUUGAGGAAGCUAGAGGCUGGUAGAACGAUAGGUGGAGCGGUGGAAUGCGUAGAGAUCUAUCGGAAUGCCGAAAGUGAAGACAGCCAGCUGGGGCUUUCCUGACGCUAAAGCACGAAAGCGUGGGGAGCAAACCGGA